rnacentral:rRNA from 1 species
UACGUAGGGGGCUAGCGUUGUCCGGAUUUAUUGGGCGUAAAGAGCGUGUAGGCGGCCAGGUAGGUCUGCUGUGAAAACUCGAGGCUCAACCUCGAGACGUCGGCGGAAACCAUCUGGCUAGAGUCCGGAAGAGGAGAGUGGAAUUCCUGGUGUAGCGGUGAAAUGCGCAGAUAUCAGGAGGAACACCGAUUGCGAAGGCAGCUCGCUGGGACGUAACUGACGCUGAGACGCGAAAGCGUGGGGAGCGAACAGG